rnacentral:misc_RNA from 1 species
GCCAGAGCUCUAUCAACAUCGAUGACAUUCUUCACUCAGGUGUCGGAUCUGAUUACUCGCGGUAGUGCCGCCACUCAGCUGGCAGCGGCGCGGAUUGUCGGGGGACUAUCCUUGAGUGAGGAGAUUAAGAGGUCGAUGUCGGGAUGCAUCGGUGCUCUGAUAAAGAUGUUGGAGUCGCCAAAACCGGCGGCAGCCCAGGAGGUUGCCGCGGGGGCGCUGGUGGUGCUGUUGU